GCCUCGGUGAUGUAGUGGUAGCGCGCGCCAUCGGUAUGCGUGGAACAAGGGUUCAAAUCCCGUUUGAGGCC